UACAGAGACGUCGAGCGUUGUUCGGAUUCAUUGGGCGUAAAGGGUGCGUAGGCGGCGCGGUAAGUCGGGUGUGAAAUCUUGGAGCUUAACUCCGAAACUGCAUUCGAUACUGCCGUGCUUGAGGACUGGAGAGGAGACUGGAAUUUACGGUGUAGCGGUGAAAUGCGUAGAUAUCGUAAGGAAGACCAGUGGCGAAGGCGGGUCUCUGGACAGUUCCUGACGCUGAGGCACGAAGGUCAGGGGGAGCAAACGGG
rnacentral:rRNA from 1 species